AAAAAUAAUUUACUUGAAGCUUGAGGUUAUAUUGGUAUAAAUUGACCAUACAAUUUCCUAUUUCUACAUGCAAAGGAAAAAAUAUGACUAAAGUUCAUAAGUUUAUUUAUAUUAUGAUCGUAUUUCUUUCCAUAUUUCACGUUGUAAACAGCUACGUCGUUAUGUGCGAAAAAGACAGUGAUUGUGUGGAUUCUUUUUGUGUCCCACCAAAUGUUCCAAAGUGCAGAGUGGUUUGUAAAUGUCUACCAAAGUAAUAAAAGUGAAAAAUAAUUUUAUUGUAAUGCUAAGAGUAUAAUUGUAUUUUCAUAUCUUAAUGUUAGUACAUUAUGAUUUCUUCUUACCAUUGGAAUUAGCUUCCUUUAUAAAUAAAGACAACUUAGACCAUUUACAUGAGGUGCUUCUCUUAUUUAGCACUAUUUUAAAUAAGCAUCCUCAUUGUAACAUCAAUGAAUAUGAUGUUUAGGGUAUGUGUUUUUAUAGGCACUCUCUCUCUCCUAUUAUUCAUAGGUCCCACAUGUUCAAUUAAUUAUAUUUUUUUUCCUCUAUAUUCAAUUAUUGUAUUAUUUUGAUAUUAAAAAAUAAAUUAUAUAAUAGUUAUAAAUAA